CUCACCGCCCCUCUGGGUGCGGCCCGCGUCUGCUCGGACGCGGCCCGGAACGUCCUGACUCGACCCAUCGUGGCCUCGCGUGUGUCCCCGGGUGACCGCCACGAAGGAGGCGGGAGCUCGGGAGUAGGCCCUCACAGGCGCGUCCUCCCGCCUCCGUGGUCUGGGUCCUCCUUCUGGUUAGGAUCCCCGUUAUCCUACCACCUUGCGCCCGAGGGCGGACGGGGAGGGGCGCCUGGCCCGUUGUGCUCCGGGGAACGACCCAGCCUCGAAGCUCUUGGGACGCAGGACAGCCGAGGCCCUGCGCCUGACCCCGGAGAAGCCCGUGCACGCGCCAGCCUCCCGGACCCAAGUGGAGAGUCCCGCCCGGCUGUCCGCGCCCAGCGUGCGGCCACCGGCGACGUCCGUCGUAGCGAGCCGGGCUCGGCGGAGGGAAAUGCUCGCGAACUGUCUGCACGCGCGUUUUCUUGUCGGCCCCGCUGUAGGCAGGGGGUCUGCAAACGCAACGAAGAUUCCAGAACCCCAGCCCUAACUGCUCAUCCGGUGAGCGCGGGAGCCAGACUCUUCGGCCGGCUUUUUACAAAGUUCUGCUUGCUUCGUGUAGCUUCGACUGGAGAUUUCCCAAAGCAGUUUGUGUUUUGUUUUGCAGUCCUUUCCAUAAUUUUAGCUCGUGUAGUUGAGAGUGUUUAUAGUACUGAAGAAAACAUUCUAACAGCGUUGGAUGCUUAUUGCUCUUUUGGUUCAACUAAGAUUUAUACAAGUAGGACAUAGCACAUUUUCCACUUAAAACAGUCCCUAUCUUUAAGAUAAAUUAACACCACGUGGGAGAGAGAAAGGACAAGAGGAACAGAAGAGGGACACACUGGAUAGAAGAACUACUAGUCCAGUGAUCUUCAAACAUUAUCGCCAAAAGAACUGAUCAGAAUGAAAUUUGCAGCAUAAUGUAUAAUGUCACUCAGUGGAACAUUCAGGAAGCCUCCAGAGAGGCCCACAGGAAUGGAGAUCACCAUCCCACAGCCAGCAAAUACUGAGACUUACAGAAGACUACAUGAGUGAGCUUGGAAGUGAAUUCUCUAGCCCUAGGCAAGCUUCUAGGUGACAUUAGUUCCCCAACGGAACAACUUGGCAGCAACCUCUGGGGACCCAAAACCAUUCCCUGAUUCCUCUCAAAAACUGUAGGAGAGAAUAAAUGCUGUCUUAAACUACUAUGUUAGAAGUAAUCUGUUACACAGCCACUAUCAUCUGCUUAAAAAAACAAACAAACAAACAAACAAACAAAAACCAGCCAGGAACACCUGCUUGGCUCAGUCCGUAGGGCGUGCAACUCUUGAUCUCAGGGUCAUGAGUUCAAGUCCCAUGUUGGGCAUACCACCUCCUUAAAAAAAAUAAUAAUAAUACAUGAGCGGGUUGGCUAGAUCCUAGGUUCCUCUUUUUUUUUUUUCUUUUGAAGAUUUUAUUUAUUUGACAGACAGAGAUCACAAGGAGGCAGAGAGAGAGAGGGGGAGAAGCAGGCUCCCCACUGAGCAGAGAGCUUGAUGUGAGGCUAGAUCCCAGGACCCUGAGAUCAUGACCUGAGCUCAAGACAGAGGCUCAACCCAUUGAGCCACCCAGGCGCCCCCUAGGAUCCUCUUCUUAACACCAGAAGUGGUUCUUUUAAUUUAGGAUUCAAUAAAGGUAAUUAAAAGAUUCUUGGGAUUCACCAAUCUCAUGCUAAAAAAUGAAUUUUUUAUCAUUUAUAUACUUAUUAUAAGUGAACUAAAGAGUAAAGUAAAUUACAAAGAGUAAAAUAUUUACAAUGAUUAAACACCUAUCACCACAUAUGGUUGCAGAGUUAACUAUCAGAUCUGUACAAGUAUUGAUAAGAUGGUAUAACUGAUCAGAGAAAUAGCUCUUUGGUUCUGGCUGAGUUUGGGCUUUUUUCCUGUCAUCCUAGCUCUCUUUCUCUUCGUAGCCGCUCUCUGUCCUAUUCUAGUCGUGCCACGACUUUUAGAUGAAUAGUGCCUUUCUCCCUCCAUUUCUAAAGUGCAGAUUAUUGCUGCAUCUGUAUGUUGUUGUUUUUUUGUUUUGUUUUUUGUUUUUGUUUUGCCAGUGAACAAGUCUGUGUGAAGUUAGCACUUCAAGAAACAUGAGCCCAUGGG